rnacentral:lncRNA from 1 species
GGGGUAAGAUGCUAAGUGUUUCCCUUGGUAGGCUUCUCAAAUCACCAGAUACUAUUCUGUCGUAGGGAAACUUGCUAUGGCCCUAAGACUUGGGGGUUAUGGGAGUGGUCGCUUUCCAUAUACAAGUGGAGAAGGUUCCGUAUUUUCUCCAAUUCCAUAUUAUCUUAAUUACCUGAAUCCUAACACCUCUCCAGGCCACCUCACACCUGAUCACAACUGAUCUAUUGGCUGGCUGAGGUGUCCCAGCAUUAAAACUCCAAUUCUCAACCAGAAAACGCCACUGGGUGGCCCCUGGGUCUCAGCGCUCCAGAUGUUGUCUUCAGGCAUCCCCUAGUACCAUUUUUUCUCAAAGCGCUAUUAAUCCCAUGUCAGGAGAGGUUCCCAGAGCAGAUCUGCUGGCCUGGAAAUACUCAGCAUUGUGGUCUGCUUCCCUAGGUCCCUGUUGCUCCUAGGGCCCCUCAUAGGCACGUGACUAAUUUGUGAGCCCAUUGCCUGCUAUGUCUCCGUUAGUCUGUCUCUCCCUUUUCAUAACUGUGCACAUAAAAUAUACUGGUGUUUGUGUUCCUGG